CCAUGUUAUAUUUGUUGAUAAUUGCUUAUUGAUAUUCGUAUUCCAAUAAUAUAAAAAUCGACUAUAUUUAAAUACAAUGAAUAAUUAAUAUAUUUAGACUUUAUUAUAGACUAUAUACUUAGAAGUAACUUGUAUUAUGUAUUGACUAUAUAGUAUAUACCUAUAUCAUGUAUAGAUAGACUAUAUACAUAGAAGUAUCCUUUUUUUUUUGGUCUAGGAAGUAUCGUCUUUUUAAGUAACUUAUAUUUACUUAAGCAAUUUAAUUGCUAACAUCAUCUGCACUGACAUAUGUAAUUAACACACCGCAGAGUUAGACUAUUACGGACACACAAAUCUCUUGGACAAUCACUAUCAUCACUGCAGAGAAAUUGAGCUGCAAUUUUAAAUAAGAAUAAAUGAAUGUUACUUAAAGAUAGGGAAAUAUUAUGUAUAAGAUAAGAUAAAUAAAAAAAUGGUAUGAAAAUGUUUACCGCCAUUGGUUACAACAAAGAGUAGAGAAAUAAAAAUAAUCAAAGCAUAAAGGAACUUGAGAAGUAAAGUCAUUAUAUAUUC
rnacentral:lncRNA from 1 species